CAGCAGCCACGGGAAUACGUAGGGUGCAAGCGUUAAUCGGAAUUACUGGGCGUAAAGCGUGCGCAGGCGGUUUGUUAAGACAGAUGUGAAAUCCCCGGGCUCAACCUGGGAACUGCAUUUGAAACUGGCAAGCUAGAGUCUUGUAGAGGGGGGUAGAAUUCCAGAUGUAGCGGUGAAAUGCGUAGAGAUCUGGAGGAAUACCGGUGGCGAAGGCGGCCCCCUGGACAAAGACUGACGCUCAGGUGCGAAAGCGUGGGGAGCAAACAGGAUUAGAUACCCGCGUAGUCCCUGUCUCUUAUAC
rnacentral:rRNA from 1 species